GCACGAUGGCGUGCUGGGGUUUGGCUUAGCCCGCUGAAGUUUGCAGCCUUGCAAUUGAUCCGCGCUACACCCCGUUCAGCAGUAAAGCUACACCAGUCUAUUGGCCCUGACGUGAGGCGGGCAGAGAUGACGUAGCGGGAACUGUUUUGGACGUUUGUUUUGUUUUGUUCGGUACUUCGGAACAUCUACUUUAAUGGGACCACUUUUGGUCCCAUUGCUAGGAAGUACUAUUCAAAAGGUCGUAAUACCGCCGUUCGGAAGAAAGACAACUAAGUAAUUGAGAAAAUACCGCCUCUUGAAUAUAGCGGUGGAAAUAGAUGAGGUAGUAAGAAUUGAGUAUCAUAUCACACAAGAGCCUAAAGACCUAUGCUCAAUGAUAAAGAGGCUAUUGCCAGAGAGAUUGAAAAGUAUCAGGAAGCUGACAGAGAUAACAGAAAUUUGCAAACCUCAUAGGUCACUAAAUGGAAUUACUGAAGUUAACGCAAAACAAGAGAAAUUUUCAUGCAGAAAAAAAAAGAAAAGAAAUCAAGUAAAGUAAAGUGAAGAAGAGAGACCUAGAGCACCUGCCCAGGAGAUAAAAUCUACGCAGAAUAGGAAUACCUGAAACAGAGGACAAAGCAAAUGAAGCUGAAACUAUAAGGAACUAACUGAAGAAAAAUGUCCGGAGUUGAAGAAGGAACUAGAUCUGCAAAUUGAAAAAGUUCACAGGGUACCAUUAAAAUUUAAUGAAAAGAAAGCAACACCCAGACAUAUCCUGGUAAUAUUUUUUAAUUGGAAGGAUAAAUAAAAAAUUCUACAAGUAUCCCAGACAGAGAAGGCAAGUUACUUAUAAAGGGGCAAAGUUAGGCUGACCUCACAUUUUUCUCUUGCAACUGUAAAUGCCAGAAAACAGUGGAACAAUAUCUACAGUUUUAAGGGAAAAUAAUUUUGAACCAAUUAUAUACCCUGCCAAAUUAUUUCUGUACCAAGGCAACUGGAAGACAUUCACAGAUACGCAGGGGUUGAGAAAGUAUAUCUUUCAAGUACCAUCCUUGAAAAAUUUGCUGAAUAAUGUACUGCAGCCAACAAAGAACAUGAAUUAAAAUAACUUAAAAGUAAGGAGGCAAUUGUAUGAAAAAAUUAGUGGUAAGCAUUAGUUAAACAGCAUUAAGGUUACAUUGUUAGGUAGAGUUAUAGAACUAAAUGCUAAAAUUUGUAAGUUGGGUUUAAAAUUUCAGUUUAUAAACUGUGAAAAGGCAGGCUAAACGUUCAAUAUAUAGAGCAAAUAAAUACUGUUUUAUUUUUAGCAUGCAAUGUAGACAAAGAUACUCAUGUUCUUAAGCCAAACAUAAGUAAAAUAAAAGGACUUUGUCACUGUGCACAGAACCUGUAGAAUAAAGGCAUACCAAAUGUUAAUCUGGCAAAAUGGGAAAACCAGUCAGUACAGUUUUGUUUUCCCUAGUUUUAAUUAUAGAAAGGGGAAAAGUAGCAAAUUUGUCUGUAAUGCUAAUACUGGUAGUGUAAAAAGAAAAUUUUUUAAUUACUCAUUGGAGAGAUCGUGAAUUAAAACCUUGUUUUAUGUGCAUCUUGCCUACAGAAAAUCAAUACCUACUGCUUCAUGUAGUAGUAGAUCAUUGUAAGUAAAUUUGACAAUGAGAUGUGUUACAAAUAAAAAUAGAGCACAUAUUCCAAUUGGGUUGUAGAGGAAGUGGUGAAAAACAACAAGGAAGCAUUAAAAUUGGCAUAAGAUAGAUUGACAUAGGUACUGAUGAGUCAUCACACUCCUAAACUGGUUAAAUAGUCCUAUUUAAAGAGAUUAAAAUUGGGUCAAAAAUCAAUCUAUAACCCUGGAUACUCACAUUUGUAUAAAGCAAAGGAUAAAAGAGUUUAAAGAUAAUGGAAAUGAUAAGUCAUAGAAAUGGAAGUAGGGAGCAAUAUUUUUAUUAGAACUCAAGCUAUAACAUAUUUAUAAAACAUACAGUACAGGUGGUAACAUUUAAGAGGCUUUAUGUGGCAAAUAACAUGGCAUUCAUAUGUAAAAUAAAUGUUCAAUACCUUCAUGUGAAUGAUAGUUUUACUGAUGUAUAUAUGUUUUUAAAAAUUGUAUUUAAAAUUAGUACAUUUUAUGUACUUAAAAUUAAUAAAGUAAUCCUUUAAUUAAAGAAAAUACACAUGGCAAAAA